GGAUUAGAUACCCCGGUAGUCCAUGCCGUAAACGGUGGGCGCUAGGUGUAGGGGGCUUCCACGUCUUCUGUGCCGUAGCUAACGCAUUAAGCGCCCCGCCUGGGGAGUACGGCCGCAAGGCUAAAACUCAAAGGAAUUGACGGGGGCCCGCACAAGCGGCGGAGCAUGUGGAUUAAUUCGAUGCAACGCGAAGAACCUUACCUGGGCUUGACAUACACUAGAUUGCUGCAGAGAUGUAGUGUCCCUUGUGGUUGGUGUACAGGUGGUGCAUGGUUGUCGUCAGCUCGUGUCGUGAGAUGUUGGGUCAAGUCCCGCAACG
rnacentral:rRNA from 1 species